rnacentral:rRNA from 1 species
AAUAGAUACCCCGGUAGUCCACGCCGUAAACGGUGGGUACUAGGUGUGGGUUUCCUUCCUUGGGAUCCGUGCCGUAGCUAACGCAUUAAGUACCCCGCCUGGGGAGUACGGCCGCAAGGCUAAAACUCAAAGAAAUUGACGGGGGCCCGCACAAGCGGCGGAGCAUGUGGAUUAAUUCGAUGCAACGCGAAGAACCUUACCUGGGUUUGACAUGCACAGGACGCCAGUAGAGAUAUUGGUUCCCUUGUGGCCUGUGUGCAGGUGGUGCAUGGCUGUCGUCAGCUCGUGUCGUGAGAUGUUGGGUUAAGUCCCGCAACGAGCGCAACCCUUAUCUUAUGUUGCCAGCGCGUAAUGGCGGGGACUCGUGAGAGACUGCCGGGGUCAACUCGGAGGAAGGUGGGGAUGACGUCAAGUCAUCAUGCCCCUUAUGUCCAGGGCUUCACACAUGCUACAAUGGCCGGUACAAAGGGCUGCGAUGCCGUGAGGUGGAGCGAAUCCUUUCAAAGCCGGUCUCAGUUCGGAUCGGGGU